GUGUAUUGUUUUGGUUUCGGAUACACUCGCAAACUGUCGAAUCGUUCUGUAAUUUUCAUGUGAAAAUUGCAUGAAAUUGUCAGUGAAAUGCCCGUUUUCAAGCUGGAAAGUUAUCCCUUCGUGUGCCGGAUGUGUCUGAAGCCGGAACAGACCCUGAAAAUGACACCGCUGGACACCGAGGACGAAGGCUUCGAGGAUGUGCCACCUUCGAGGAGUUUUUGACCACGAUCACGUUCGAGGUUGCGGAGGAAAGGCGCCAUCUGUUUCCGCGCUCAAUAUGCCCUCAGUGCAAGGACUCGCUCCAAAACUUUGCACGAUUUCGCGCCAAAACCCACAAUGUGCACCUGUUUAUGAACGCACUAGCUGAGCUGCGUGACCUUAACACGGCACCGAUUAAGAAUCUUUUCCAAACGCAACCAGACACCGUACGGUCGAUGCUCACGGAGCUGGAUCUGUGCAGCAAGGCAGACUGCCAAGCGGAGGAUCUGAUUGAAGAAUUUCCACAGUUUCAAAUUGCUCAGCUUCCGGCUACUUUGAAAGAUACUUCUUUUAACGAAGAAUUUGAAGUGAAAAUAGAAGUGGAGCCGGAAAAACUCGAAUCGGACGCUUUAUUUACCGAGCAGUGCCCACUCGAAGAGCUGGUCGAGCCGAAGAUCGAAAUUGUCGAUGAAACAAAUCAAGAAGUACGAUGUGAACUUCUAGAACCAACCGGCGAAACAUAUGACCCUGAAGUAAAAC